UAGCAUUGAAUCCUCUAAC
rnacentral:sRNA from 1 species